rnacentral:lncRNA from 1 species
UAUCAUAUAUUCAUUGCGGGAAUUAGAUGGUAUGAGGUUAAAGAUAUCUGUUAUUGGAAAGCGAGUAAAGAUUUUCAAAAGAUGACAUAGAGAAAUCAAUAUGGAGGAUCAUACUCAAGAUAUCAAUAUUUUUGAAGAAGAUAAUUGUUUUAAAAUGGAUGGUGAAGAUAAUGAUGAAGGAUUCGAUGCAAAAAAUGAAGAGAUGGUGUGAUGCUAAUUAUGACAUAUAAUUUAUUUGGCACAUGUCAGAGGAUGUAUAGGUUAAGAGUUUGUG